GCGAGGAUGGCGGAAUGGCAGACGCGCCGGGUUUAGGUUCCGGUAUCGCAAGAUGUGGAGGUUCGAGUCCUCUUCCUCGCACCA
rnacentral:tRNA from 2 species